ACAUGCAAGUCGAGCGAAGUGCUUAUGAUGAAAUCUUCGGAUAGAUUCAUAAACCACUUAGCGGCGGACGGGUGAGUAACGCGUGAGGAACCUGCCUUGUACAAGGGGAUAGCCUCGGGAAACCGGGAUUAAUACCCUAUGAUACUUAAAAUUCACAUGAAUAUUAAGUUAAAGCGAUUUAGCGGUGCAAGAUGGUCUCGCGUCCCAUUAGUUAGUUGGUGAGGUAACGGCUCACCAAGGCCACGAUGGGUAGCCGGCCUGAGAGGGUGAUCGGCCACACUGGAACUGAGACACGGUCCAGACUCCUACGGGAGGCAGCAGUGGGGAAUAUUGCACAAUGGAGGAAACUCUGAUGCAGCGACGUCGCGUGAGUGAUGAAGGUCUUCGGAUCGUAAAACUCUGUCCUAAGGGACGAUAAUGACGGUACCUUAGGAGGAAGCCCCGGCUAACUACGUGCCAGCAGCCGCGGUAAUACGUAGGGGGCGAGCGUUGUCCGGAUUUAUUGGGCGUAAAGGGUGCGUAGGCGGCCUUGUAAGUCAGAUGUGAAAGAUCAUGGCUUAACUGUGGUAAGCAUUUGAAACUGCAGGGCUUGAGUACAGGAGAGGAGAGUGGAAUUCCUAGUGUAGCGGUGAAAU
rnacentral:rRNA from 1 species